rnacentral:rRNA from 1 species
GGCCUACCAUGGUGGUAACGGGUAACGGGGUGUUAGGGCACGACACCGGAGAGGGAGCCUGAGAAACGGCUACCACAUCCAAGGAUGGCAGCAGGCGCGCAAAUUACCCAAUCCCGACACGGGGAGGUAGUGAUAAUAAAUAACAAUACGGGGUUCUUUCGGAUUUCGUAAUUGGAAUGAGUACAAUUUAAAUCUCUUAACGAGGAACAAUUGGAGGGCAAGUCUGGUGCCAGCAGCCGCGGUAAUUCCAGCUCCAAUAGCGUAUAUUAAAGUUGCUGCAGUUAAAAAGCUCGUAGUUGAAUUUCGGGACCAUCAUGUCGGUCGUGCCUCGGUACGUACUGGCAUUGUUGGUUUCUACCUUCUGACGAACCAUGAUGUCAUUUAUUUGGUGGCGUGGGAAAUCAGGACUGUUACUUUGAAAAAAUUAGAGUGUUUAAAGCAGGCUCACGCUUGAAUACAUUAGCAUGGAAUAAUGAAAUAGGACGUUUGAUUCUAUUUUGUUGGUUUCUAGGAUCGACGUAAUGAUUAAUAGGGAUAGUUGGGGGCAUUAGUAUUCAAUUGUCAGAGGUGAAAUUCUUGGAUUUAUUGAAGACUAACUACUGCGAAAGCAUUUGCCAAGGAUGUUUUCAUAAAUCAAGAACGAAAGUUAGGGGAUCGAAGACGAUCAGAUACCGUCGUAGUCUUAACCAUAAACUAUGCCGACUAGGGAUCGGAUGAUGUUAAUUUUUUAAUGACUCAUUCGGCGCCUUACG